rnacentral:rRNA from 1 species
GACGAACGCUGGCGGCGUGCUUAACACAUGCAAGUCGAGCGAUGAAGCUCCUUCGGGAGCGGAUUAGCGGCGGACGGGUGAGUAACACGUGGGCAACCUGCCUUAUAGAGAGGAAUAACCAUCCGAAAGGAUGAUUAAUACCUCAUAAUAUUGUAGCUUCGCAUGGAGCAACAAUCAAAGGAGCAAUCCACUAUAAGAUGGGCCCGCGGCGCAUUAGCUAGUUGGUGAGGUAACGGCUCACCAAGGCGACGAUGCGUAGCCGACCUGAGAGGGUGAUCGGCCACAUUGGGACUGAGACACGGCCCAGACUCCUACGGGAGGCAGCAGUGGGGAAUAUUGCACAAUGGGGGAAACCCUGAUGCAGCAACGCCGCGUGAGUGAUGACGGCCUUCGGGUUGUAAAGCUCUGUCAUUGGGGACGAACGGCCGCAUCAGGCAAUGGGUGCGGAUUGACGGUACCCAAGAAGGAAGCCACGGCUAACUAC